rnacentral:lncRNA from 1 species
UGAGAAGCAGAGGAAAAGCCCUGAAGAAGAAAGAUGGUAAGUCAGAUAUCGUUCCCGGCCAACUCUUUCCCGCCAGUUUUACUUAAAAAUCACUUUUUGCUUCUGGAACAGCCAUGUGGGAUGUAUGUGCCCGGUAAGCGUGCUUGCAUGCGUUAAUCGUGAACAUUGUAACUCAGAGACAAGGGACAAAGCAGCUUCUGAUAGUGGACUCAGAAAUCAUGAGGGAGCAACUUGUGCCAAAUCAGGCCACCCAAUGCAUCCAACCAUGUUGUUUUACUUUCCAGGUAAAUUGCCGUUUACUGCUAUGGGUAUAAGCUCCGUGAUUCACCCUAAGAAUCCUUAUGCACCCACCAUGCAUUUCAACUAUAGAUACUUCGAAGUAGAAGAAGCUGAUGGUAAGCCUCUUAAGAGUUGUUUGAAGUCUGUAUUU